rnacentral:misc_RNA from 1 species
GAUGAAGAACGCAGUGAAAUGCGAUAAGUAAUGCGAAUUGCAGAAUUUCCGUGAGUCAUCGAAACUUUGAACGCACAUUGCGCCCACUGGUAUUCCGGUGGGCAUGCCUGUUCGAGCGUCAUUAUCCUCCCUCAAACCCCGGGUUUGGUGUUGGACCCAAGUUGUGUGAACAACUGGUCUUAAAGACAAUGACGGCGUCCGUGGGACCCUCGGUGCAACGAGCUUUUAGGAGCACGUAUCGAGUUGCAAGGACCUUCCGGGCCGGUCUCCUUUACUAUUUUACAAGGUUGACCUCGGAUCAGGUAGGAAUACCCGCUGAACUUAAGCAUAUCAAUAAGCGGAGGA